rnacentral:rRNA from 1 species
CCUACGGGAGGCAGCAGUGGGGAAUAUUGGGCAAUGGGCGCAAGCCUGACCCAGCAACGCCGCGUGAAGGAAGAAGGCUUUCGGGUUGUAAACUUCUAUUCUCAGGGACGAAGAAAGUGACGGUACCUUAGGAAUAAGCCACGGCUAACUACGUGCCAGCAGCCGCGGUAAGACGUAGGUGGCAAGCGUUAUCCGGAUUUAGUGGGUGUAAAGGGAGAGUAGGCGGGAGUGCAAGUCAGAUGUGAAAACUCAGGGCUCAACCCUGGGCCUGCAUUUGAAACUGUGUUUCUUGAGUGCUGGAGAGGCAAUCGGAAUUCCGGGUGUAGCGGUGAAAUGCGUAGAUAUACGGAGGAACACCAGUGGCGAAGGCGGAUUGCUGGACAGUAACUGACGCUGAGGCGCGAAAGCGUGGGGAGCAAACAGGAUUAGAUACCCUUGUAGUC